rnacentral:rRNA from 1 species
UACGGAGGAUGCGAGCGUUAUCCGGAUUUACUGGGUGUAAAGGGAGCGUAGACGGCAGGGCAAGUCUGGAGUGAAAGGCAGGGGCCCAACCCCUGGACUGCUCUGGAAACUGUCCGGCUGGAGUGCAGGAGAGGUAAGUGGAAUUCCUAGUGUAGCGGUGAAAUGCGUAGAUAUUAGGAGGAACACCAGUGGCGAAGGCGGCUUACUGGACUGUAACUGACGUUGAGGCUCGAAAGCGUGGGGAGCAAACAGG